GACUCGGUAGCACACCGGUAAAUGCACCUGUACGACAUAAGGCAUCGUUGUGUCAGAUGCACAGGAGGACCCAGUUCGACUCUGGGCUGAGUCA